AUUGAACGCUGGCGGCAUGCCUUACACAUGCAAGUCGAACGGCAGCGCGGGAGCAAUCCUGGCGGCGAGUGGCGAACGGGUGAGUAAUAUAUCGGAACGUGCCCAGUAGUGGGGGAUAGCCCGGCGAAAGCCGGAUUAAUACCGCAUGAGACCUGAGGGUGAAAGCGGGGAUCGCAAGACCUCGCGCUAUUGGAGCGGCCGAUAUCAGAUUAGCUAGUUGGUGGGGUAAAGGCCUACCAAGGCAACGAUCUGUAGUUGGUCUGAGAGGACGACCAGCCACACUGGGACUGAGACACGGCCCAGACUCCUACGGGAGGCAGCAGUGGGGAAUUUUGGACAAUGGGCGCAAGCCUGAUCCAGCAAUGCCGCGUGCAGGAAGAAGGCCUCGGUU
rnacentral:rRNA from 1 species